rnacentral:rRNA from 1 species
GACGAACCGUGCGAACGUUGUUCGGAAUCACUGGGCUUAAAGGGCGCGUAGGCGGCUUGCCAAGUCAGGGGUGAAACUCCUGCAGCUUAACUGUAGAAGGGCCUUUGAUACUGGCGAGCUCGAGGGAGGUAGGGGUAUGUGGAACUUCCGGUGGAGCGGUGAAAUGCGCAGAUAUCAGGAGGAACACCGGUGGCGAAGGCGGGUCUCUGGGCCGAUACUGACGCUGAGGAGCGAAAGCGUGGGGAGCGAACAGG